rnacentral:rRNA from 1 species
GAAUAUUGGACAAUGGGCGAAAGCCUGAUCCAGCCAUGCCGCGUGUGUGAAGAAGGUCUUCGGAUUGUAAAGCACUUUAAGUUGGGAGGAGGGGCAGUAAGCGAAUACCUUGCUGGUUUGACGUUACCGACAGACUAAGCACCGGAUAACUCUGUUGCAGCAGCCGCGGGAAUACAGAGGGGUCAAGCGUGAGGCGGAAUUACUGGGCGUAAAGCGCGCGUAGGGGGUUCGUUAAGUGGGAUGUGAAAUCCCCGGGCUCAACCUGGGAACUGCAUCCAAAACUGGCGAGCUAGAGUAGGGCAGAGGGUGGUGGAAUUUCCUGUGUAGCGGUGAAAUGCGUAGAUAUAGGAAGGAACACCAGUGGCGAAGGCGACCACCUGGGCUCAUACUGACACUGAGGUGCGAAAGCGUGGGGAGCAAACA